AGGUUCCAGCUAACGCAACCCCGGAUCAUGUUCACCUUCUUGGUAACAGGUCCAUAUUGCUGACACAUCUCCCUGAGUGACAGCUCCCAUCCGUGAAUGCUGCCACAGGAGUAUGUGACAGUCCUGGUGUUGACAACUCAGAUUUGGAGGAUCCAAGGAGCAGUUUAACAGAGGCUCUAAAGGCAACAGCACCUGAUAAGGAUCUGCAGAGGAAACAUGUUAUUCUGUCACAUACAUGGAGGAUAACUCUUUGGUA